rnacentral:rRNA from 1 species
GACAGAGGCCUCGAGCGUUAGGCGGAAUCACUGGGCUUAAAGCGUGUGUAGGCGGAUCGUUAAGUGUCUUGUGAAAUCCCACGGCUCAACCGUGGAACGGCUGGGCAUACUGGCGAUCUUGAGCAGCCUAGGGGCGACCGGAACAAACGGUGGAGCGGUGAAAUGCGUAGAUAUCGGGAGGAACACCAAUGGCGAAGGCAGCUCGCUGGGACGGUACUGACACUCAAAGUGCGAAAAGCGUGGGGGAGCAAACAGG